GGGCCCGCACAAGCGGUGGAGUAUGUGGUUUAAUUCGAUGCAACGCGAAGAACCUUACCAGGGCUUGACAUGUCACAAAUCUCUUGGAAACGAGAGAGUGCCUUCGGGAACGCAGUGACAGGUGGUGCAUGGCUGUCGUCAGCUCGUGUCGUGAGAUGUUGGUUAAGUCCCGCAACGAGCGCAACCCACGUCUUUAGUUGCCAGCAUUUAGUUGGGCACUCUAGAGAGACCGCCGGUGAUAAACCGGAGGAAGGUGUGGAUGACGUCAAGUCAUCAUGCCCCUUACAUCCUGGGCUACACACGUACUACAAUGCUACGGACAAAGGGCAGCAAGUUCGCGAGAGCUAGCAAA
rnacentral:rRNA from 1 species